UUAUUUUUUUGGUUCACCUGUAUCCACAAAAUCAAUUAAAAUUGAAUAAUAAUGAAUACACAGUAUACUGCAAUGUAUAAAUUAUAUUUAUCUUACAAUUGAUGAAAUAUUUUGGAAAUGAAAAUAUAUAUACACAAUUUUAUUUGCAAACAUAGAUUACAAACAUUUUUCAAGAUCUAUCACUAUAUAUCAGAUGUAGAAUGAACAAUUGGAAAUGAUUGUGAUAUCCUAGUCCCAUCCCAAUGUAUAAACGAACUGUACAAAAAUAUAUGUGUAACAAGUAUUCAUAUUAAAAAAAAACUUAGUAGUGUUUACUUAGUUUUAUUCAUAUUUAGUAUUUGUAAUAAAUAAUUAUGUCUGGUUUUAUAAUUUUUAUAAGACCGCAAAAUUUGAAAUUUUUUUCGUCGUUUUUUGCUAUCACUUUGGCGUCGUCGUCUGCGUCGUCGUCGUCGUCGUCCAAAUACUUUUAGUUUUCGCACUCUAACUUUAGUAAAAAUGAAUAAAAAUCUAUGAAAUUUUAACACAAGGUUUAUGACCACAAAAGGAAGGUUGGGAUUGAUUUUGGGAGUUUUGGUUCCAACAUUUUAGGAAUAAGGGGCCAAAAAGGGCCCAAAUAAGCAUUUUCUUGGUUUUCGCACAGUAACUUUAGUUUAAGUAAAUAGAAAUCUAUGAAAUUUUGACACAAGGUUUAUAACCACGAACGGAAGAUUGGGAUUAAUUUUGGGAGUUUUGGUUACAACAGUUUAGGAAUUAGGGGCCAAAAAAGGGCACAAAUAAGCAUUAUUCUUGGUUUUUGCACAAUAUUUUUAGUUUAAGUAAAUAGAAAUCUAUGGUUGGGAUUGAUUUUUGGAGUUUUGGUUCCAACAGCUUGGGAAUAAGGGGCCCAAAGGGUCCAAAACUACACUUUAUUUGAUUUCAUCAACAAUUGAAUAAUUGGGGUUCUUUGAUAUGCUGAAUCUAACUGUGAAUGUAGAUUCUUAAUUUUUGGUCCCGUUUUCAAAUUGGUCUACAUUAAGGUUCAAAGGGUUACAUCUUUUAUUAUAUGGACAUCUUUAAUAAAGAUUAAGUAUCAUAUUUAACUGCUGUAAACAUCACUCUUUUAAAGCUAAGAAAGCUUUUAAUCCUGAAAUGGAAAAGGAGGAUACACUUGUCUGUUUGUAUUUUGGACCUUCUACAAAUGUCUUCACAUACAUCUCGACUUCAUCAUCCUAGUUAAUGCUUUGAUUUUUGGUCGUUAUCCUCAUAAUGCUGAGUUGCACCAUCUAAAAAGUAAAAUCACAAAAAUACUGAACUCUGAGGAAAAUUCAAAACGGUAAGUCCCUAAGCUAAGAGAUAUCUUUUGCAUGACAUCACAUGAAACAUCUUGUUUAUGUUAAUUGUGUUUUGUAGUGAAUAUUCCUUUGCUUUACAGAACAAUGCCAUGUAUUGCCAAUGUAGAAAGUUAAGUUGUUAGUUUUAUUUUUAAAGGUUAAAAGUUAAGUACAUACAUAUUUGUAAAGUCUUUUGGUGAUUCUGUGUCACAUUACUAUUUGACAUUAUUGAGAAAUGUCUUUUACAAAACAUGAUAUUUGGGUCAUUGUAAAUCAGAAAUUAAUAUUUGAAUGACACAUAAACCCUCUGUGGGCAGAUUAUGUUCUUUUAAAUCUAUGAAUUUUCAACUUGAUAUUUUGGCUGUUUAAUUAAAUAUGUUAAUUAAAAUUUAGGUUUAAUGUCAAAACUGUAUUUAUGUUUUGAAUGUUGAAAAGGUUUCUAACUGCAAUUUUUCACAUCAUUAUGACAAUUUUAACUGAUUUAGUGAUAUGUCAAAAGGCAACAUUAUACAUUUUUUCAUUGCAUAAAUAUUUGAAAGGUAAACUGUGCCAUUAAAUAAAUAAAAUAUUUAUUGUUCUAUUAAGAAGUCAUUCAAUAGGAACUUUAAAUAUAUCCCUGAAACUGAACAAAAAAUAAAUGAUUUGAUUUUCAAGGAGAAGUUUAAAGUUGUCAUUGAAUGACUUCUAAAUAGAACAAAACUGAUAUUUAUUUAUUUAGAUAAACAAUUCACCUUGGAAAAAAAUAAAUAUAAUGACUCACACCAACUGAUUUUUAAGCAUGAAAGUUCGUAUUCUCUUUGUAAUCACACCUAGGAAUUAUGAAACACACAUUAGAUCAUAUAUACACAUUAUAUCAAACUUAUAGCAAUAAAAAUGAAGUAUCAUUAAUAUAAAUUCUGAUUUGCAUAAACGUUAAAUGUUAUAUGAAAUUAUAUACCUAAUGGGUAUGUUUUUGAUUAUUGGCCAAAAUUUAGAUAUUUAAAGUCGAAGUUCAUAUAUAGCAUACAUUAACAUAUGUCAA